rnacentral:rRNA from 1 species
GUGUUAUAGCCUCUGGUAGAUGUGAUGAUCGGGAUUGAGGAUUGCAACGAAUACCUUUUAGGCUACCCGCCUGAUCUCUGAUGGUUGCUAUGGUGCCGAAAGCUUGCUUACGGUUAUCAGAGUUGAUUGUCAAAAGGUUAGAACGGGUUAAAUUCGUUAAGGAUGUUGACGUAAUGGCUUUAAACGA